GCUCAGAGGUGUUGCUUACAUAUCAGAUUGCAAAUCUGAGGAAGCAGUUUAAAAAUCUGCCGGGGCCUUA
rnacentral:tRNA from 1 species